rnacentral:rRNA from 1 species
ACAGCAGUAGCCGCGGGAAAACAGAGGGUGCGAGCGUUAAUCGGAUUUACUGGGCGUAAAGCGUGCGUAGGCGGCUUCUUAAGUCGGAUGUGAAAUCCCUGAGCUUAACUUAGGAAUUGCAUUCGAUACUGGGAAGCUAGAGUAUGGGAGAGGAUGGUAGAAUUCCAGGUGUAGCGGUGAAAUGCGUAGAGAUCUGGAGGAAUACCGAUGGCGAAGGCAGCCAUCUGGCCUAAUACUGACGCUGAGGUACGAAAGCAUGGGGAGCAAACAGGAUUAGAUACCCCGGUAGUCCCUGUCUCUUAUAC